CACUAAUCCUUAAUCGGCAAAACAGGGGUUAGAAUUGUGGGGGCAUAUUAUGCGAUCGCUAAUGAGUUGUGUCUAGUCUUGGACAUUAAUUUAUAUUUUAAAGGACCAUUUCAACCAUAUUAUCCCCUCCUACUGGAUCAAAAGCACAACCAACUCGUACAGGCUAUUUUGUUUUCUCAACAUUUUUGCUAGGCAUACUGAGUUCUUUCAAAUAAUUGCGAGUUAAUAUCAAGUUGCUCACUCGGCUCAUUUGCACCUUCUAUUGCCGACUAACAGUUUCAUUCUGAUUUCUCCCAUGCUAGUCCCAUCACCCCUUCAAAUUCAUACCCAUUCUCUGCCUUAGUCUUAAUCUCUUAACAACAGCGGUUCGGAUGUCCCUCUUUAACCAUUAUAACGAACAUGAUUAGUAAUAAAUGGCAAAACAACACUGACAGAUUUUAUAAUUUCUACGUCAAACACCUAAAAGAGCUUAGAAGUUCUAUUUUUGAUGUCCGACCAGUUCAAUUUCCAUAUCACCAAAACCUUAGAUUCUUUCAUUCAAUUCUUAAACCAAUCUUAUAAAACUAAGAAUCCCAGACUCAUCAAGAAGCUCUAUGCUCACCUAAUCACAACAGGUUUACUCUUUAUAUCUCCUUAUAUUCACAGUAGACUCAUUUUUGCGUACACCACAUGCCUUACUAAGAACAACCUUAAAACCCUAUCAAACUGCUGCAAAUUGUUAAACAGUGAAAACCCAUUACCCUUUAAUGUACUACUAUCGGGUUUUUCUCGAAAUGGGUUUCCUUUAUAUGCACUAAAAACCAUCUCCUUUAUGCAUUUGAAUAGUGUUUCUUUAGAUACUUAUGCUUUGUCUAGUUCCUUAGUAGCUUCAUCUUGUAUGAAAAACGUGAACUUUGGUGAACAGAUACAUGCCCAUGUGAUAAAAUCAGGCUGGUUAUCUAGUGUGUUUGUGGGUAGUGCUUUGAUCGACUUGUAUUCGAAAUUGUCGUUUCCUAGUGAUGCAGCAACGGUGUUUGAUGAAAUCCCUGUGAAGAAUACAGUUUGCGCAAAUGCGCUUUUAUCAGGGUAUAUUGAGGCUAAAUUGUGGUAUCAGGGAGUUGAACUGAUAAAGGAGAUGCCUUUUCUGAGUUUGGAUUAUGAUAAUUUCACUUUAUCAGCAAUGCUAAGGAUAAGCGCAGGGCUUUCUGCAAUUGAAUUUGGCAAGCAAGUGCAUGCUUAUUUAAUUCGUAAAAUUUAUGAUGUGGAAAAUGAUGUCUUCAUGCAGAGUUCGUUGAUUGAAAUGUAUGGUAAGUGUGGUUAUGUAGGGAAGGCCCUGCAAGUCUUAAAUUUUGCAGGAUUUAGACCGGGAAGAAAAAGAAAUAAGGAUAUUGUUUUGUGGACUUCAAUGCUUGGAGCCUAUGGUAGAAAUGGGCAUUUCGAAGAGGUGAUUUCAUUGUUCGAGGAGAUGUUAAAAGAAGGGGUCAGACCAGAUGGGGUGGCAUAUGUUACCGUCAUCUCAGCUUGUGGUCACACUGGUCAAGUGCAACUUGGAAUUGAGUAUUUUGAGUCAAUGUCUCGGGACUUCAACUUAACUCCCAGCCCAGAGCAUUAUAGUUGCGUGGUUGAUUUAUUCUGUAGGGCUGGAGAAUUAGAUAGAGCCUGGAAGUUGGUGAAUGAGAUGCUCACUAAAGGACAUGAGAUCCACAGCAUUUCCAUGUGGGGGGCUGUGCUUAGUGCUUGUGAAGAACAUGGAAAUAUUGAGUUCGGUAAAUUGGCAGCUCGAGAGGCACUCAAGUUGGAGCCUCAGAAUGUAGGGAUCUAUGUUAUGUUAUCAAAUUUAUAUGCUAGGUUCGGUAUGUGGGAUGAGAUUGAUCACCUGAGGAAAAUAAUGAAAGACAGAGGAUUAAAGAAAGAUGUUGGAUGUAGUUGGAUUGAAAUCACAAGUUAAAUGCUGUAGUGAUAUUAUUCUGAAAGAUUAUACACACAGAAUCAAAAGUACUGAUGCCUAAUUGACCUGUAGUCAAAACGGAAAGGGUCCAAGUGGAUCUGUAGUGCUGAUAGAGAUGCCGUAGUAAGGAAAUUGUAACUUCAAGAGUUAAGUAUGACAGCAGUCCAGGAUUGCUGAAUGUCGCCUAAGCUUGAGAGCAAAAUGCCCUUUGGAGCAGAAUUGUUUGCUUGAAGAAGAGCUACUGCCCCACAUAGCCCUCUUUUAUCUUUCAGAAAUUAAAUAUUUCUCGUGUAUUUACUCCUAUCAUCAGCUUAAUUCCUCGAGAUGGUAUCAGAUGCUGCUUGAUUUCUCGAAAUGGUAUCAGAUGCUGGUAACCCGAGCUAAGUUUUCAAUAAAGACCUUUGCUUGUCAUGCAGUUGUUGGCAAAACGGGGCAAUUGUUGCAAAAGCAUAAACACAGGUCGGUAUGAAAAUAGCGGUAAAAGAAAUCAGUUGAGUCUACCCUCUGUUUGUGACACUCUUGCCAAAAAGCAAAGGCAGUUACUGCCACGACAUACAGCUAAGGGCAUUUUAGUAGUUUACUCUAACAAAGAAUUGUCGUUAUUGACAUUAUUACCCCUCAUUAUCUAGCUCUGAUUGGAUUUUUGAUAAAGCAUUCCUUGGAGCUUGAUGUAGGCAUUUAUUUUUACGCAAACCCUAAAUAAGCACUGUAAUUGGGCGCGCGAAAAACCCUAAUUUCAUUGAUUGAACACUCUUAUCUAACAAGAGGCAAUUUUGAUUUUAUUUUGAAUCAUCAUCAUCAUCAUCA